UUGGAGGGCAAGUCUGGUGCCAGCAGCCGCGGUAAUUCCAGCUCCAAUAGCGUAUAUUAAAGUUGUUGCAGUUAAAAAGCUCGUAGUUGAAUUUCGGGAUCAGAUUGUUGGUCAUGCCUCGGUACGCACUGGCAUUAUUGGUUCCUACCUUCUGAAGAACCGCGAUGUCAUUAAUUUGGUGUCGUGGGGAAUCAGGACUGUUACUUUGAAAAAAUUAGAGUGUUUAAAGCAGGCGCACGCUUGAAUACAUUAGCAUGGAAUAAUGAAAUAGGACGUUUGAUUCUAUUUUGUUGGUUUCUAGGAUCGACGUAAUGAUUAAUAGGGAUAGUUGGGGGCAUUAGUAUUCAAUUGUCAGAGGUGAAAUUCUUGGAUUUAUUGAAGACUAACUACUGCGAAAGCAUUUGCCAAGGAUGUUUUCAUUAAUCAAGAACGAAAGUUAGGGGAUCGAAGACGAUCAGAUACCGUCGUAGUCUUAACCAUAAACUAUGCCGACUAGGGAUCGGAUGAUGUUAAUUUUUUAAUGACUCAUUCGGCGCCUUACGGGAAACCAAAGUGUUUGGGUUC
rnacentral:rRNA from 1 species